rnacentral:lncRNA from 1 species
GAAGCGAGCUGCAUGUGCGGGAUUGGACUCUGAACUAAGAAUCAAUAGAAGUGCUAGAACAAAAGCAGCUAGUAUUCUUGAGUGGCUCUUCAUUUUCUUGCUGUAAGUUGUGUUUAAGGAUGUUAAUGAUGGGUUUUUUGCUGCAGGGUGAGUGGAAUAAGAGGUGAUCAAGAUAAUAUGUCUUUGGAGCUGAGCUGAUGAGGUUUAUAUAUGAUGUUUGAAUGUAGUGAAGGAUCCGAUGCUAGUUGGAUCAUGUGAUGUUCCUUUGACUGUUCUGUGUUGGAACUCUGAUUUCCAGAUAAGUUGUUAAAAGUUUCAGAGUGGUCAUGUGACCUGGCACGUGAUAAUAUUUUAUUUACUGGAAGCCUGAAGAGGUGGUUAUUAUAAUAUUGUCUCGAGCUUUUGAUAUUG